CCACACCUCCCUGCAAGCUGAGGGAGCGGGCUCCGGCAUUGGCCAGCCCAGAAAGGGGCUCCCAGAGUGCAGCGGUGGGCUGAAGGGCUCCUCAAGUGCCGCCAAAGUGGGAGCCCAGAUAGAGGAGGCGCCGAGAGCGAGGAGGGCUGUGAGGACUGCCAGCACGCUGUCACCUCUCAGUACUAUUUUAUGGUCUGUUUACAGUAAUCUUGAAAGAGAUAGAAAAGGACCUUGCUCUAUUGCCCUGGCUGGAGUGCAGUGGCAGGAACAUGGCUCACUGCAGCAUCGACCUCCUGGGCUCGAGUGAUCCUCCCAUCUAAGCCACCUGAUUAUCUGGGACUAUAGACCAGAACACGUUAGGAAACAUAUUCCACUAUUCAAAGGAUAAAGCUCUUCUUUCAAAUUGUGUACUGAAGAUAUUUAGUUAGAAAAAGACUCAGUAGUAUGCCUGGGACAACAGUCAUACUGAAUUAAUGAACCAUGCUGCUGACCUCAUUUUAACUUGAUUUACUUCUGUAAAAGGCUUAUCUCCAAAUAAGGUCACAUUCUAAGAUACUAAGAAUUAGGCCGGGUGCGGUGGCUCACGCCUGUAAUCCCAGCACUUUGGGAGGCCGAGGCGGGCGGAUCACGAGGUCAGGAGAUCGAGACCAUCCUGGCUAACACAGUGAAACCCCGUCUCUACUAAAAAUACAAAAAUUAGCCGGGUGUAGUGGCGGGCGCCUGUAGUCUGUAGUCCCAGCUACUCGGGAGGCUGAGGCAGGAGAAUGGCAUGAACCCGGGACGCGGAGCUUGCCUUCAGCCGAGAAGAUCGCGCCACUGCACUCCAUCCAGCCUCGGCGACAGAGCGAGACUGUCUCAAAAAAAAAAAAAAAAAAAAAAAAAGAAUUAGGACUUCACCAUACCCUUUUGGGGGGAACACAAUUCAAGCCAUAAUACUCAUCAAUCCAUUUCCUCCUCUUCGUAGGAAUUCUGAAGAUCUGACUUCCCUAUCCCCCUUUAAGUUAGGUCAGGCCAUCUGCCUGGUUCUGUAUAAAUGAAUGUGGAUGAAAGUGAUGUGUACCACUACAAAACCUGGCUAGAAGGCAUCCUACAUAAUACUCCUCAUUUUUGCUCUUUGCCUUAUUGGGUGACUAAACGCACAGGAUCUAGCAGAGGACACUGAGGAGUCCCUGGAAGAUUGCGGCAACACAAGACGGAGAAGCCAGGAUCCCAAAGCACCAAGUGAAAGACUGGUCGGCAAAAAUCCAUUUGAACUGUGAUGUGAGUGAAAAACAUAUGCCUGUUGAAUUAAGUAAUGAUCAAUGCUAUGCUCUGUUUGUACUCAUAGCAGCUUCUGUUAUGCCUUUUAUUAAUACGUCUGGCUUGUUUCCUUUUGAUCUCAGGGCUAAAAUAUCCCAUUUGAAAAACCACCCAUUUUUUUUCCAGUCUUCUGCUUUGUCAAGUUAUAUCAUAGCAAGUUUUUACAAUAAAUAAAACUCUAUAGUAAAAAAUAAUUU
rnacentral:lncRNA from 10 species